AUUGAACGCUGGCGGCAGGCUUAACACAUGCAAGUCGAGCGGAGAUGAGGUGCUUGCACCUUAUCUUAGCGGCGGACGGGUGAGUAAUGCUUAGGAAUCUGCCUAUUAGUGGGGGACAACGUUCCGAAAGGAAUGCUAAUACCGCAUACGUCCUACGGGAGAAAGCAGGGGAUCUUCGGACCUUGCGCUAAUAGAUGAGCCUAAGUCGGAUUAGCUAGUUGGUGGGGUAAAGGCCUACCAAGGCGACGAUCUGUAGCGGGUCUGAGAGGAUGAUCCGCCACACUGGGACUGAGGCACGGCCCAGACUCCUACGGGAGGCAGCAGUGGGGAAUAUUGGACAAUGGGGGGAACCCUGAUCCAGCCAUGCCGCGUGUGUGAAGAAGGCCUUAUGGUUGUAAAGCACUUUAAGCGAGGAGGAGGCUACUGAGACUAAUACUCUUGGAUAGUGGACGUUACUCGCAGAAUAAGCACCGGCUAACUCUGUGCCAGCAGCCGCAGUAA
rnacentral:rRNA from 1 species